CGGUUAUCAUGGUACCGGUGCUGUAUGUACGAAAGGUACAGUACUGUGAUAACUGAA
rnacentral:pre_miRNA from 1 species